GCAGUUUCUGCAGGUCUGUUGCUGGCGACCUGGCAGUUCUGAGUGGUGGGAGGAGCACUGUUGGCCUUGGUGUUACCUUCACAGACGGUGUCACUUCCAGGCAUAUACUUGUAUUUUUAAUGAGUUCAUCCACAAAUGGACAGGCAGAAAAAUCUAGGAGUAGGGUUGCUGGCUCAUGGGGUAACAUGGUUGGGUCUGACAAACAGCUGCCCAGAUGGCUGAUCCUGCGGCGUCACACCUUCCUGAAUUUGGGAUACUGUCAAUCUUCCAGUGUGGACUCUUCCUGUGUUUGUGCGGUGGGAUUUCAUUAUGGCUUCCAUUUGAAUGUCCCCGCUGGUUAAUAAGGAAACAUUCUGACCAGGCCAACCAGUGAAUGGCUGCAGGAAAGAAGAAAUUAACACAUUCUGGUCAUAACCAAGACUUCCUCCCUCCCUUUUAGUAUAAAAGAAGCCUGAACUCUAACUUGGGAAAG